rnacentral:rRNA from 1 species
AGAGUUUGAUCAUGGCUCAGAACGAACGCUGGCGGCAGGCUUAACACAUGCAAGUCGAGCGCGCCCUUCGGGGUGAGCGGCGGACGGGUGAGUAACGCGUGGGAACAUACCCUUCACUGCGGAAUAGCCUCUGGAAACGGAGAGUAAUACCGCAUACGCCCUUCGGGGGAAAGAUUUAUCGGUGAGGGAUUGGCCCGCGUUGGAUUAGGUAGUUGGUGGGGUAACGGCCUACCAAGCCGACGAUCCAUAGCUGGUUUGAGAGGAUGAUCAGCCACACUGGGACUGAGACACGGCCCAGACUCCUACGGGAGGCAGCAGUGGGGAAUCUUAGACAAUGGGGGAAACCCUGAUCUAGCCAUGCCGCGUGUGUGAUGAAGGCCUUAGGGUCGUAAAGCACUUUCGCCUGUGAAGAUAAUGACGGUAGCAGGUAAAGAAACCCCGGCUAACUCCGUGCCAGCAGCCGCGGUAAUACGGAGGGGGUUAGCGUUGUUCGGAAUUACUGGGCGUAAAGCGCGCGUAGGCGGACUAUUAAGUCAGGGGUGAAAUCCCGGGGCUCAACCCCGGAACUGCCUUUGAUACUGGUAGUCUUGAGUUCGAGAGAGGUGAGUGGAAUUCCGAGUGUAGAGGUGAAAUUCGUAGAUAUUCGGAGGAACACCAGUGGCGAAGGCGGCUCACUGGCUCGAUACUGACGCUGAGGUGCGAAAGCGUGAGGAGCAAACAGGAUUAGAUACCCUGGUAG